UCUUGGUGUUGGCGGUGGAUUCUGGACCAGACGACCGAGGACGUCGAAGUAAUGGGGAAUUAUGGCUUAACCCAGGUUUUGAAAAACAUAUAUUGCACCGACAAGCCUUCAGUUAAAGCCCAUGGAAUGCUGACCAGUUAUCUGUGAAUAAAAAUUACUUAAUAGAGCUCAAAUGGGCCAAAUAUCCUGAUUCCGAGGAAACAUUAAAAAUGUAACAAAAGAGGUAUUCUAGAAGUUUUAUGUGACAUUCUGGAAAUUCAUGAAAAUAGAGAGAAACAAUCUUAAACACUGAUGUUACAAGCUAUUGAGUGGUUUUGACAAAAUUGGAUGCAAUCCCAGAUGUGAUUGAAGCCCUAUCAGAGCUCUGCAUAAUUCCAGCUGAUCACAGGAUUGUAGCUAGUGUCCAUCAACAUUAGUUGCACCAACUCUUAACAAAAGCAGCAGUUCUCUAGUUGGCAAGCAUGAUGUCAAGUAUGCUAAGUUUUAGUUAACACCAUGGAUCUACUCAGUUAUUGUACAAACUAACAGUAAAGGCUCUGGACACCAGGGACUUGCUGUUUUUCAAUAUCAAUUUCAUAAUAUUGCUAAAAUGACUUUGACGAGAAAAGAAAUCAGUUACACGAAUUUUAUCAAAACUAUAUUCCCUUAUGCUUUCCCAAAACGGAUUUCGACCAACUUUUUCCGUGAAUUCCCUCCAAAGAUGGCACCAUAUUCUCGGGUGUGCCAUGGAAAUGGGUAUCUUCUUGUAGAGGAUAUGCGAUGCAGUGCGAUGUCGAGGUCCCGUGAUUAUCGGCUGAAUGAUGGAGUCUGGAUCUUGUAUCCAUUACCUGAAUACAAUGAAUACUAUCAGUUCUCCAGAACAAGAGACCGACACAGGUUAAUAAUCAUACUGAAUCAAAAGAGGUACAUACUUGAACGAGAUUUUAAAACGAUAACAGCUGGAAGGGCGUAUGGAAAUUUCAAAGGACGCUACCUACUCGUUACCUUUAGUCGCUGAUUCAUCUUGAAGAUGAAAUAUAAAAUAUUUUAUAAAG